UACGUAUGGAGCAAGCGUUAUCCGGAUUUACUGGGUGUAAAGGGAGCGUAGACGGCAGCGCAAGUCUGGAGUGAAAUCCCAUGGCUUAACCAUGGAACUGCUUUGGAAACUGUACAGCUGGAGUGCAGGAGAGGUAAAGGGAAUUCCUGGUGUAGCGGUGAAAUGCUUAGAUAUCAGGAGGAACAUCGGUGGCGUAAGCGCUUUACUGGGCCGUAAUUGACGCUGAGGAACGAAAGCCAGGGUAGCAAAUGGG
rnacentral:rRNA from 1 species